rnacentral:rRNA from 1 species
UACGUAGGUGGCAAGCGUUGUCCGGAUCUACUGGGCGUAAAGAGCGCGCAGGCGGUCGGAUAAGUCGAAUGUGAAAGCCCCUGGCUCAACCAUGGAGGGUCAUUCGAUACUGUUCGACUCGAAGGCAGGAGAGGGAAGUGGAAUUCCGGGUGUAGUGGUGAAAUGCGUAGAUAUCCGGAGGAACACCAGUGGCGAAGGCGACUUUCUGGCCUGUUCUUGACGCUGAGGCGCGAAAGCUAGGGGAGCAAACGGG